GGAGCAGAGUGACAGGUGGUGCAUGGUUGUCGUCAGCUCGUGUCGUGAGAUGUUGGGUUAAGUCCCGCAACGAGCGCAACCCUUGAUCUUAGUUGCCAUCAUUAAGUUGGGCACUCUAAGGUGACUGCCGGUGACAAACCGGAGGAAGGUGGGGAUGACGUCAAAUCAUCAUGCCCCUUAUGACCUGGGCUACACACGUGCUACAAUGGACGGUACAAAGAGCUGCAAGACCGCGAGGUGGAGCUAAUCUCAUAAAACCGCUCUCAGUUCGGAUUGUAGGCUGCAACUCGCCUACAUGAAGCUGGAAUCGCUAGUAAUCGCGGAUCAGCAUGCCGCGGUGAAUACGUUCCCGGGCCUUGUACACACCGCCCGUCACACCACGAGAGUUUGUAACACCCGAAGUCGGUGG
rnacentral:rRNA from 1 species